AUGAACAUAUUUAGAAAUCUCUGUGUCAUGAUUUAUAUUUUAUCUCAUUUAAUUUUUUUGCCAGAAGUCUAACAGGAAAUUACUACUUUUCUCUUUGUGAAACGAGGGAGGCUUGAGCAAGGCGUAUGUGACUCAUCAAAGUUCCAUAGCCAGGACACGGAAGCCUCCGGAUUUGAGCCCAGGUCCCUUGGACACCAAAGCCCCGGCCGAUUCCUCUGCAUCAUGCGCGUGCCAUUUUCUGCGUUACCCCUGGAUAACAAGCUGACCAAACCUCACCUUCUCCUUCUCCCCACGGACCAAAGCCCAGGAGCUGGAAAUGGACAUGCUUAAAAAACAAGACUUUGGUGAAUUGUUUUCCUGCCAGUGACUGGUGGAAGGAACUGGACUCAUGUUUACCAGCAAGCAGGUCCAGGAUGGGAGGAUACGCUACACACUGAACGUAUGCAGGAAAAGCAGGAGUUUCGAUCCAGAGAUGAUGGGAAGAGCACAGCCUCUGAGCAUCUGCAGAAAUCGCGGGCACUUUUCAAGACUCCCACAAGCUACGGAAGGUAAAGCCUGAGACAGUCUUAUCUUGAUUAUCAAGGAGAGGGGGACCCCAGCUGACAUAUGGGUUCCAUUAUGGGGACGGGUUUUUGUUACACUGGCAUCGGGAAUUAAGCUAAUCUCCUUCUAUCGGACUUUGUCCGUCUCUGGGGGAUAUUUUGUGGAAGAAGGUAAGCCCUGGGACAUAGCCACACGUGGGUGACAAGAAGUGAUUUUAGGACUCAGUUUUCCUCCUCGUGUUCUGACGCCUAAUGAAGAUUUGACUUCCGGGGCAAAACCCCUCCUCCCUACCACACCCUCCCGACACACACAGAGAACAAACCUUAGUCACCACUUCCACGUCUAGCCUGAUCUGAAUUCAGGUGAAGCCCUGAACUGCCUCCUGUGCGGGUGGAAACAUGAUCCCCCUCCUCUGGGGGGCUCCGUGCUUGGAACCGUUUCCCCCACCCUAAUUCCCCUGUCGCGGGCCUUGUUGGCUGCCUUAGCCCUGGGUUAUCCUUACGGCCAGCCCCUCCUCUCCAAAGAGGGGCUUUGUUUCCUCCUCCAC